AACGAACGCUGGCGGCAUGCCUAACACAUGCAAGUCGAACGAGAUCUUCGGGUCUAGUGGCGCACGGGUGCGUAACGCGUGGGAAUCUGCCCUUUGGUUCGGAAUAACAGUUGGAAACGACUGCUAAUACCGGAUGAUGACGAAAGUCCAAAGAUUUAUCGCCAGAGGAUGAGCCCGCGUAGGAUUAGCUAGGUGGUGUGGUAAAGGCGCACCAAGGCGACGAUCCUUAGCUGGUCUGAGAGGAUGAUCAGCCACGCUGGGACUGAGACACGGCCCAUACUCCUACGGGAGGCAGCCGUGGGGAAUAUUGGACAAAGGGCGAAAGCCUGAUCCAGCAAUGCCGCGGGAGUGAUGAAGGCCUUAGGGUUGUAAAGCUCUUUUACCCGGGAUGAUAAUGACAGUACCGGGAGAAUAAGCUCCGGCUAACUCCGUGCCAGCCGCCGCCGUAACAC
rnacentral:rRNA from 1 species